UGCAUUUUUUUUUCAAUGUCAGCUGCUAAAAUUAGGUUGACUAUAAGACAUGUCAAUCCAUCAUUUAGUAGCAUGGUUUUCUUUUUUAACUUUUUAUUAAUUCUUUGUGAGUUUCAUAUCAUGCGCCCUAGUCCCACUCAUCUUCCUGUCCCCUCAUAGCUGACCUUUGCCCUUACUACCUCCCCACAAGAUAAACCACACAUGCACAAACAAAAGUCAUCUCAUGGUGGAAGCUGUAGUAUGUCUCGGUGUGUAUAUCCCCCUGAAUAUUCCUCUGUCUGUACAUCUUCACUUGCAGAUGUUCAUUGCAGUGAGUCACUGGUCUGGUUUGAGAUCUCUGGCUUCUGUGAUACAGUCAAUAUUGAAUUCCUACUGGGCCUCCUCCCAGUUAUCCUGUUGUCGUCCUGUGUCAUGGAGAUCCUGCAGCUUUGGAUCAGGUGGACUGGUUCUUUCACUUGUCCCAGCUGUUUGCAGAUGAUAUAGAUUUUGAGGUAGGCCAAUUCAAAGCCAUGGAUCUGGGCCUGGGUAGUAGCUGAGCUGGUCAGCCCACUGGCUUUCUUAUCUGAGCUGCCAGGGUGAGCUCUCUAACACUGUAUCAUCAGUAGGAGCCAGGGUCUGCUCUCCAGCUCUCAUACUCUUGGGGCCAGCUCAGCUCUACCCACACCUCCAGAGCCAGCUCACAGUCAAGGUACAGGGCUCACUCUCCGAGUGCUGCAAUCUGGUAGGGCCUGGGCCAGCUCUCCCACCCCCACACCUCAGGACUGGCUUACCCAUGCAUUUGUCAUCAGGGCCAGCUCCACUAUUGUCCAGGGUAGGUCCAGGGCUAGCUUUCCCAGCUACCACUGGUGGUGAGUGGGGAGAGGGGGACAUCACCCCUGUACCCAAGCCACCUUACAGCAGAUAAAUGGCAGGGCCAGCUUUCCUGUGUUCUUGUUCUCAGGUCUGGCUCACCUGCAUGCCCUCCACCGGGACCAGGGCCAGCUCUCCCAAGGCUGCUGCUGGUGAGAGGUGGAACCAGCUCUCCAGAGUAUGGCAGCCAGUGAAGGACAGGGCCAGUUCUGUCUAGCCUCUGGACAUCCAUCUGGUCCCUGAUUGCUGUUCCUACCAGGAAUGUCCCCAUGUUCUCUAGUAGUAACAUGAGACACUGGACACCAACCCCUGCCACUGCAUAACCACAGACCUAGACAUGGCCCUCAGCAGCAGUUUGGACUCGGACCUCAAUCAUAGCCCCAGGCAGCAGGGCUAGCCACUUACAACAGGCUACUUCUUUCCACCCUUGAGACUAGUUGCAUCUACCUCUCUUCAUAAUGCUCAAACUGUCCACGUUUUUUUUUCUCUCCCAUCUGUCUACCACAUACUUGCAUAUUGUGGUUGCUCCUGGUGUAGGCUGGCCCUGCAGGUGUCCGGCCCCUGGGUGACAUACUUUGUCUGCACUGUAUGAUGUGGCUGCAAAUAGGUGGCUACAGCCUGCCUAUGCGGUGCCUAGGAGAACAGGUCUGUGGUUGGCAGAUCUCUGUCUUCCUUCUCCCAGGCUGUUCUGGGUGAUGGCAUAAACCAUCUUUGGCCAUCAAGCUAGGAUGAACAAAGGACUGCCAUCUGCUCUGCCUCUGACCUAUAUAAGAACACCACCACCACCAAGUUGUCUCUUUGCCAUUGCCAGAGGGGGCUACAUCCAUUUUUUUUUCAAUCCUAAUAGCUUGGUUUUAGAGUGUCUGCAUAGAGAAUCAUCAUUAAUUUUUUGUUUAGGUUUCUUUUUGUUUUUUUGUUUUGUUUUGUUUUGUUUUUGUAU